rnacentral:lncRNA from 1 species
CAGCAGUGUCAUAAGAGAGAGAUGGAUGAUCUGGAUAAAGGAAUGUGGUGAAAGAAGUUUAAACUAUGCCAUGAAGAACCAUCAUUUGCCACUUGAUCCAAAUGAAUGCUGAAUGUAAACAGCGAAACUUAAUAUUCAACAUUCACCCUAUUUUGGAGCAGCAGAAGCACCUCAUUAAAAAAAUUUCUGACAUGUCAGUGAGGAAUGAAUUGUCAUGCAGUGUGGUACUGCACAGACAUAACAAGCAACUCCCUGCUGGUGUAACGCAUGGAAGAUGAUACAUAGAAUGAGACAAACAAUAACUCCUUAGGGAAUAAGAUACUUCAGGCUUGAUCCUGAGGCGGUGUUAGAGUCAUAUAUCUCCACUGAAUGAAACGGAACUCAACAGAUUUACAGCAGUCUGGGUGCCAGCUCUUCCUCAUUAGUGACCUGAGAUGAUACUCUCUCCAUUAAAACUUUUUCCUCUGCUGCUUAAUAAAAUUACUCUGCCUGCUAUGUCGAGUUUCUCCAUUGUUAGCUGUCUGCUGCUGAGACUUACCUUUCUGCUUAGAGUGGUACUCUACCCUUCU